CAGCCAUUCCGCGUGCAGGACGAAGGCCUUCGGGUUGUAAACUGCUUUUGUACGGAACGAAAAGGCUCUGGCUAAUACCUGGGGCUCAUGACGGUACCGUAAGAAUAAGUACCGGCUAACUACGUGCCAGCAGCCGCGGUAAUACGUUGUGUCCAAGCGUUAAUCGGAAUUACUGGGCGUAAAGCGUGCGCAGGCGGUUAUGUAGGACAGAGGUGAAAUCCCCAGGCUCAACCUGGGAAUUGCCUUUGAGACUGCAUAGCUAGAGUACGGGAGAGGUGGAUGGAAUUCCGCGUGUAGCAGUGAAAUGCGUAGAUAUGCGGAGGAACACCGGUGGCGAAGGCAUUCCCCUGGGCCUGUACUGACGCUCAUGCACGAAAGCG
rnacentral:rRNA from 1 species